GUUUCAGGAUACUGGCCUGGUCCAACAGGAUGUCAGUGUUCUGCUCAUGCACUUUGCUGGCGAGCGCCGUAUCGAGUCUUCCAGUCGCUAUGCUGUGCUUGUGCUCUUUUAUUCUGGUAAUCGGGUUUCGCUUGGUACUGCCUGUGUAGUGCUGGGCACGGCCCUCAUCGGGAUUCUGCAGAGGGGUGGAGUGCACACCCGCCUUCCUGUGUUCCUCUACCGGGCCCUUGUCAUUGCGGAGGGGUUCAAGGAGCGUGGGAGCGCGCCUCUUCGCCAUUCUCCGACUUUCGGGCCUCAGGGCCUUGGAGGGGGCACGGUCC
rnacentral:lncRNA from 1 species